rnacentral:rRNA from 1 species
UACGUAGGGUGCAAGCGUUGUCCGGAAUUAUUGGGCGUAAAGAGCUCGUAGGCGGUCUGUCGCGUCUGCUGUGAAAAUCCAGGGCUCAACCCUGGACCUGCAGUGGGUACGGGCAGACUAGAGUGCGGUAGGGGAGAUCGGAAUUCCUGGUGUAGCGGUGAAAUGCGCAGAUAUCAGGAGGAACACCGGUGGCGAAGGCGGAUCUCUGGGCCGUAACUGGACGCUGAGGAGCGAAAGCGUGGGGAGCGAACAG